CAGACAGGAGCAGAUGGUGUGGCCGUGGGGCCUGCAAUGGGCCUCACUGAGGCCUGAGCUGAGAGAAGGAAACAUCCUGGAGAAGCUGAGACUUCAAGGAAGAGUCGCUUUCCUGGUGAACCCUUGAGGGAGGACCUUCCAGGCAGAGGUGGGGAAACCAGCUUUGCCUUUCUCCUAGCUCUACUGAGCUCCCGUCUUACUUCUACUCUACACCAGGACAGAGUCCACCUGACACUUCUGAAUGACGGGACGUCCUUCAUCUUCUGCUGGAGAUUUAGAGACAGACUUCCAACAAGGAAAGCCAGGCCUCUGGCCAAGGACACCCCUGAACACAGAGCAGAGAGGAGCCGAAACAGGACACUGAAGACAUCCAGGCCGCCCAGACCCACAGACUGCGCCCCGACCCUACCUCCCCUGCAGUUAGUGCAGGAGGAUGAGACAGAGCAAGGUCACCCAUCAGGAUGCUGUCUCUCUAGCGCCCUCUGCCGGGUUCUCAUGAGAAGACCCCCUUGACAGGAGGAGACAAGGAGUCGUUGCAAGGAGCCAGACAGACAGGUGGUGAAGGACAGCGCUGGACAGGUGUGAGACUGCUCUAUGAGGCCAUUCAUCUCAUAAAUAGUUGCUGAGUACCAAAGACGUGCCGGGCGCUAUUCCAGUGCCAGGGAUAUGAACGGAUGAGACAAGGCCUUCCGGUGGAGCAAGCAUCCUGGGUGAUCGCAGAGAGAGAAUAAACAAAUACAUAGCGUCGGCAGUAAAAAGCGCUACACGUAGAGAAACAAAACAGAAUAAGAGAUAGGAAGUGAUGCAAAUGGGACUCAAAAUAGGGCACUCAGGGAAGGCCUUAUGAGGAAGUGACCUUUGGGCGAAGAUCUAAAUAAAGCGAGGGAGUGAAGUGUGCAGAUCUCGGAAGGAAGAAUUUUCGGGCAGAGGGGAAGCGAAGGCCAAGGCCCUGAGACGGGAAGAUAGAGAGACUGCAGCUGAAAAGUGAAGAAUUGAGUCGGGCUAGAGACCAGGGCAGCCUUCCUGUCACCAGCGCCUGAUGCAAAGUGAGACUGAUGACAGACUGCAGUCUGUUGAUUUGCUCCACCCGAAUCAGAGGACGCACCGAGAUCUGGACAAACUUGGUGUGCGUGUAGCCUAUACCCGUGUCUGUGUUCCUGAUGCCAUACGCAGGCGUCACGAGUGCCCUGUCCUGGUGGGGGUACCUGCACACCCAAAAGACCAGAGCAUCAGAAAUCACCACUAGGAAAAAGGCGCCCUGGCCUAGGCUCCAAAUUCGAGCUUUAAGAGCUGACACGAGUCUCCUUUCAAAGGUCUUUCUUGCGUCUAUUGGCUGCUUACUCUCUCAGGGAAGAAACUGUUCGUCAGUGGAAUCAAAACAAGGGAUACUUAAAAAGCUCCAGGAAAGUCAUAUUUCCUGGAGAUGGAAAAUAUUUUUCUCAAAGGGAACUGGGAAGAGGCAAGAAUUUUUAAAAGGAUGACCUAUGAAAGAGGAACGGAGCCAGAACACGAUCCAAGAGAGGCUUUCAAAGCUUACAGUGGAGGAGAAAUGGCUUGUUUGAGACGAGGAAAGAGGCGGAACAAGGGAAGUAACUUGCCUGAGGUCACAUGGCUUGUCAGUGUCACAGGGCAAGAUUCCAUUCCAGGACUCCCGGAUUCCAGCAUCUCUGCUCCUAACCAGCCAAUCCUUGCUGUCUUCUCCUGCUGGCACCGACUCCGCUAAGAAACAGAAGGUUCAAGAUGGCGACACAGGAAGAUCCUGAACUCGCCUCCCCCACAGACACACUGAAUCUACAGCUGCAUAUGGAGCAAUUUCCUCUCAAAAAAACCCUAAAAUCUAGUGGAAAGACUCCUUCGUAUUAGGGAAAUGAGAAAACAAAAAACAAAAAAACAUUGAUGCGAGUAGGAAAGGCUGAGAUAGUCUCACCAUAACCCGCCCUCCCCCCCAGCCACACACAGUGACCCAUAGCCCGAGUGAACUUAAAACCCAGAGCUUCUCCCUGAGGAGCGAAAGGUUUGUACUCCACAUCGGGCACCCCAGCUUUUAAGACCUGCACCUGAGAGAUGAGCCCCCAACACAUCCAGCUUUGAAAAGCAACAGGGCUUGGGCCCAGAAGACCCACAGGGCUGGAGAAACAUCGCUCAAAGGACUCGCUCACCCCGGGGGCCCAGUGCAGAAGCAGCCCUUGGAAAGUGCCCGACUUUCCGUGCUGGAGGCUCAUUCCUAGUUUUCAGGCCUCGGUCUCCAGGGCCCGGAGCUGGUGAGCGCCAUCUUCACGCUCUCCCUAGGUAUUGCUAGAGCCUGCGCCCCCCUCAUUUCUUUUUUUUUUUUUUUGACUCUAGAAGUUUUUCCCCGCAGCGGGCACCAUUUUCCUGCUCUCUGUCUUGCUAAAGCUGGUGGGCACCGGCUUUUCCUGUCUUUGCUUUUCUCGGCGAUGCCAUCUUUGCGCCCCGCCCCCGCCUCCCCCCAGCCACGCCAUCUUCCGCUCUCCUACUGCGCUCAAAGCGCCACUGUCUCCUGGAAGGGAGUUUCUACAUGCAUCUGGUGUUCUGGAUUUUACCCGUGGUGACCCAGUUUUGGUGGCUACAGCCCAGGGGAAGUCCCUUGAUCGCCAGGCUCUGAAGGCCAGAGGGGCUUGCUUUCCUGGGUCCCAUGGGACUGUGACAAACGGAGAGACAGUUCUCAGCAGGCGACACCCCCAGGGCACUGCACAGAUAGAGACUGAAACACCCCCCCAUCUUUCUGGGAAAGAGGCCUAUGCGCAUGUCCAGGAGCUUUGGCCUGGGGGAGGCUUCUGGUCUGGCCCCUUCCAGGGACCUAGGGAGUGCUCUCUCAGGGAAUGGAGGGCGUGGACUCAGUCUGCGUUCUCUGCCUGGCUCCAGCUCACUGGUAUCUCCUACAGCUGCCACCCUCAAGGCACAGCAAGAGGCCACAGACCCAGGAACUCAGUCUUUCUGGGAAAGAGGGCUAUUACCUUAUCAUCGCAGCUGCUGCCUGAGGGUCUGGCUUCCAAUCAGCCUGAAUCUAGGUGCUGACUUCAAUCCUCCCCUUUGGGACACUGACCGGUCUUGGCACACCCUCAGCUACUGGAAACUAUUAAAAAUAAAACAGGCUG
ensembl:lncRNA